UGGUUCGCGGCCCGUUCGCGUGUGGUUCCGGGUGGAGGUGAGGACUUUUCAAAACGGUGGGAAGAUGAGCCAACUCGAAGAGCUCAAAGUGUUCGUCUCCGAGCGGCUUCACGCUGCCGCCUCUGAAAUAUUCGGUGCUGUUGAAAAAACGAUAACCGACUACGAGGAGAAGUGCGCCCGUCUGAAGGAGGAGAACGACCGUAACCGGUCCCUGUUGGACAUUAUUCUCAAAACAAAAUCGCAAAAGAAGGAAGGUGGGUUUUAUGGCGGAGCGACUCGCAAGUGUUGACGUUAAUUGGUGCCGAUUAACGUCACGUGUCUUUCUGUGGAAGUAGAACGCUGCAAAUAACGGUCAGCUGACGUAAAUUCUUUAUCUUUAUAACGUUAGCUAAGGGUAGCUAAAUUAACUCGCUAGCUAGCUAGCUUAAUCGAUUCCUAGUGCCGAUUAUUGGGCCUCAUUGAAUAUACUAAUUCAAUAGGAAAGUUAUAACGUUAUUGUUCAAACCGGUAUUCCUCCUUCGGGCCAAAACCAUCACCGCUGUUCAGGUUAUCUUCCACGAUGCGGGUAGUGGUUGCUUAUUAAAUGUCGCAUGCCGGCCGUGUCAACACCAUGGAGUAAUGAAAAUGCCAUGUUUAAAACGUAAGAACAAUAAAGGUAUUACUAUUAAGCAUAUUUUAGGUUUCCACCUGGCUACAAAUUGGCCUAAACUAACGUUGGGUUUCCAUGUUAUGACAAUAUUCUGUGUGUAUGUUAUUUUUAUGAGGUCAGUGUUUUGCACUUUUUAGAAGUCCCACCUAAAGUAACGCACACCUCAACAAUCCGGUCAUCGUAACACUGCCUACAGUAGCUCAACCUAUCAAAAGCAGCCCGGCUCCUCCUGCUGCUACAACUACUGCUACAACGGCUGCUGCUGCUGCUGCUGCUGGUUUUCCAGGUGCAUCACAUUUAAGUCCUCCCCGCAAGGCCAGAGACCCACCCCGCAACUCCAGUGAAUUUCAGUGCUCCUUUACCUCACGCACAGACUUACUAAAGUUUGCCACCGGUGGCGACUGUCGCUUCUGCUUGAAGAAAAUUCCAGCCACUGAGAGACAUUUGACAAAGAAACAUUAUCUAUUAGCUGUGAAAUUCACUGCAGGUGGCACUGACAGAUUUGUUGUACCAUGCACAUGCACAGACUUGAUCCAGGGAAGAAGUCACUGGCACUGCCCGUAUUGCUCGAAGAUCAUUUAUCGGAAAUGUAACUUUGAGGUGCACAUAUCUAAACAACAUGGUCAUGCAAUACUGCCCCAAAACCGGGACAAAGACAUUGAUCAGCCCUCUGUCUCUGCCAUUGAAGAGGAGGUUCCCCUGAGUCCAGAACCCUGGUGUAAGCAGGAACUUUGCAGUCUGGACCACGAGGACCAGCGGGCUUCACUGUUGCGUGAUGUUAAAGAAGAAAAGGAAAUCUGCACACAAGUGAGUCAUCCUGGGUGGCAGAACUCAGGUGAUCUGCAGAUUGAAGGUAAGCAAGUACAAAGCACUCAAAGUUCAGAGGAACAUCACGCUCAAGGCUCUGAAUUCAGCAUUGCCUUUGCGGACGGUUACGUUCAAGACCUCAGCGAAGUGAACAGUGUGGAAAAAAGCAAGGGACAUCAGCUUCCUAAUUCUUCAAAUGAACCACUGGAACCACUACCUAAUAGUGAGGUUGUGGGAAUGGGCAAGCCAACUGGGGAAUCUCAGCAAAGCACACCUUGUUUAAAGGCACAUAGCAUCAAGAGGAAACUGCGUGUGAAGACAAACAAAUCUUUGGCCACCUUGGGUUUGAGUACAAAGACUCAGUGUGUCAGUCAGAAUCCCACCGGUCCCUAUUGUUGCAAAGCAUGUGGAAAAGCUUUUUAUUACAUGUACACACUGAAGACACAUGUGCGAACACAUGCCGGGGAUAAAAUCCGUGUUUGUGGAAUCUGUGGAAGACAUCUGGACUCUAUGGAGAGUUUAGCCCAGCACAUUCAAAACCACACAAAGAGGAACAAAUGUGGUAUCUGUGGCAAACAAUUUUCUAAUAAUUCCCGUCUGAAGUGCCAUCUGCGGUUUCACAGACCAAGGGGUCUAAAUAUCAUGUCGUUGACUUAAAUACCAUGUGACUAGGGCAGGAGAUUCCGUCCAGGAAUAUAGCUAUGGGAUAGUUCAAUCCUUGAGAUGCCGUCUAGGAAUGUACCUAUGGGAGCUAGUUCAAUCCUUGUUUUGUUGUUCAUGGUAUGUACCUAAUGGGAUAGUUCAAUACUUGUUUUGUUGUUCAUCAUAUGUACCUAUGGGAUAGUUCAAUCCUUGUUUUGUUGUUCAUUGAUUCCUACAAAAUUUUGUAUCGCUAUACCAUUUUGUAGUCUUUAAUAAAAAUAAAAAAACAUAUUUGAAGUUGGUCAUCAGUUUCAAAGUGAGAGACUGUCACUAUUAUACAUUUUGG